CUGAAAUACGAUACACGGACGGGGUGUUUGUCUCCUGGUUUGACAGACAAACAAAUAUUCUCUGCGGGAGAAUGCGAACAAAACAGAUUGUUUCCAAUUUUUCAUUCUAGUGCUGCUUUGUUUUUCAAGAUGCAUCAUGCUCAGUGAGUCAUACCACAGUUCAGUUAUGAUCUCAGACCCUCUGCAGUUAUCCAAUUUUAAUGAGGAAUUGUCGUCACAGUAAGUGAAAUAGCGCUAACCUUAUUUGAAUUUGCUUAGCCUGAUCCCUACAGUACGUGAGUGGUAUUUCACUUGUUCUGUUUGUAUUUAAUUUUAGCUUAGGCUGUGGUAUUGGCUAUGGCUACUUGCACAGGAUUCCAACCCGUCUGCUUCACCUUCACCCAGAGACUGAAAAUGUUUCACAGUCUACAGCUGCCAACAGCAGACAGCAGCUAUGUGAGCACACUGAGGUGCCUUCAGAAGCCGCGUGUAGCCCUUCCGGUGCAAGUCAAACAGGUUCGCAUCAGGAAGAAGCAACUGUACUUGAACUGAAUGCAUCCCCUCCCCCACAGACAGCUGCACACUUUAGCACCUCAGACAUAAAUGAAGCAACUCCUGAACUGUCCGCUGUGGUUUCCAUCAGAGACGUGAGCUCCAUAGAUGCUAAUUAUGGAGA